rnacentral:rRNA from 1 species
GACGAACGCUGGCGGCGUGCCUAACACAUGCAAGUCGAGCGAGUGAAUCUCCUUCGGGUGUGAAGCUAGCGGCGGACGGGUGAGUAACACGUGGGCAACCUACCUCAUAGAGGGGAAUAGCCUUUCGAAAGGAAGAUUAAUACACCAGAAGAUUGUAGCUUCGCAUGAAGUAGCAAUUAAAGGAGCAAUCCGCUAUGAGAUGGGCCCGCGGGGCAUUAGCUAGUUGGUGAGGUAACGGCUCACCAAGGCGACGAUGCGUAGCCGACCUGAGAGGGUGAUCGGCCACAUUGGGACUGAGACACGGCCCAGACUCCUACGGGAUGCAGCAGUGGGGAAUAUUGCACAAUGGGGGAAACCCUGAUGCAGCAACGCCGCGUGAGUGAUGACGGCCUUCGGGUUGUAAAGCUCUGUCUUCAGGGACGAUAAUGACGGUACCUGAGGAGGAAGCCACGGCUAACUACGUGCCAGCCGCCGCAGUAA